UGAAUACGAGACGCUAAGGCGUCGAAGUAGUGUAUGUCAUACUUCCAAGAAAAGCUUGCACUGUCAUAGAUAAAAAACGCCUGUACCAUAACCGACACAGGUGGGUAGGUAGAGUAUACUAAGGGGCUCGAGAUAACUCUCUCUAAGGAACUCGGCAAAAUAACUCCGUAACUUCGGGAGAAGGAGUGCCUUAUUCGUAAGGUUGCAAUAACAAGAUCCAAGCAACUGUUUAUCAAAAACACAGGUCUCCGCUAAGUCGUAAGACGAUGUAUGGGGGCUGACGCCUGCCCAGUGCCAGAAGGUUAAAGAAGUUGGUUAGCAAUUGCGAAGCUGAUAACUGAAGCCCUGGUGAACGGCGGCCGUAACGAUAACGGUCCUAAGGUAGCGAAAUUCCUUGUCGGGUAAGUUCCGACCCGCACGAAAGGCGUAAUGAUUUGGAUACUGUCUCGGAGAGGGGCUCGGUGAAAUAGACUUGUCUGUGAAGAUGCGGACUACCUGCACCAGGACAGAAAGACCCUAUGAAGCUUUACUGUAACUUGGAAUUGAAAUUGGACUUUAUUCGCGCAGUAUAGGUGGGAGGCGUUGAUUAUAAUCUUGUGGGAUUAUUGGAGCCAUCAGUGAGAUACCACUCUUGUAAUGUUAGAUUUCUAACUUUGAAUCAUUAUCUGGUCAAAGAACAGUUUCAGGCGGGCAGUUUGACUGGGGCGGUCGCCUCCUAAACGGUCACGGAGGCGUACAAAGGUUUCCUCUGAACGGUUAGAAAUCGUAUCUAGAGUGUAAAGGCAUAAGGAAGCUUGACUGUGAGACCUACAAGUCGAGCAGGGACGAAAGUCGGUCUUAGUGAUCUGACGGUACUGAGUGGAAAGGCCGUCACUCAACGGAUAAAAGUUACUCUAGGAUAACAGGCUGAUCUCCCCCAAGAGUUCACAUCGACGGGGAGGUUUGGCACCUCGAUGUCGGCUCAUCGCAUCCUGGGGCGGUAGUACGUCCCAAGGGUUGGGCUGUUCGCCCAUGAAAGCGGUACGCGAGCUGGGUUCAGAACGUCGUGAGACAGUUCGGUCCAUAUCCGGUGUAGGCGUUAGAAUAUUGAGAGGAGCCUUCUUUAGUACGAGAGGACCGAGAAGGACAUACCUCUGGUGUACCAGUUAUCGUGCCAACGGUAAACGCUGGGUAGCUAUGUAUGGAGUGGAUAACCGCUGAAAGCAUCUAAGUGGGAAGCCCACCUCAAGAUAAGUAUUCUCA
rnacentral:rRNA from 1 species